UGGGCUGUAGCCAAGCGGUAAGGCACAGGACUUUGACUCCUGCAUUCGUUGGUUCGAAUCCAACCAGCCCAG
rnacentral:tRNA from 1 species